ensembl:lncRNA LINC02725 long intergenic non-protein coding RNA 2725
AGAGGAUGGAAUGCUUCACCAGGAGACACAAGAAUAAUUUCCUUGACCUGGGAGUUAAGACUGCCACCCAGCCACCUUGUGCUCUCCAUGCUGCUGAUUCAACAGGCAAAUAAGGAAGUUAUGGUGUGGGCUACAGUGAUUGAUCUGACUAACAAGAGGGAAAUUGCUCCACCAUGGGGGUGAGGGAGAGUACAUCUGGAAUACAGAAGUUCCCUUAGGACACCCUUAGUGUUCCCACACAUUGCGAUUAAGGCCAGUGGAAAACUACAAUAACUCAGUUCAGGCGGAACAACUCAUGGGGCAGAAUCUUCAAGGAAUGAAGAUUUGAGUCCUUCUACCAGGUUUUGCAGAGUGCCUCCAGAAAUAAAAGUGUUACAAAAGAAUCACUUCAGAAAACCUACACUUAGAGAGUCCAUUUGAAAAUUGCCCUAUUUGAAAUGAAGUGGAGAUCAGUAAUAACAAGGACUUCCCCAUAUAACCCAAGGUCCUACUGGGUUAGUGUGAUCUUCUGCGGAAGGCUGCAGCUGCUGUCAGGAGGCCCUCUGUCUACACUCCUCUCUGGAGAAGUGUCCCUUUUAAACUGAAGCAUAGUGAGAACAAGUGUAAAGCACAACACAGACGGAAGAUUGCACCUUAGCUCACUGCCCCGUGCACCCCGGUUACACCGUCUAAGAAAACACUCUGGAUUCAAUCCUUGGAAAAUAUGUGCUGAGCUACCACUUCUGGAAGAGUCUUUCCUGGUUAAUUACUUGAAACCUGUUGCAUUGGGAAUUUCUCAGAAAGUCUGCCUUGAUGAGCUUUACUCAAGAGCCGCAACUUCACGGAUCGGACAACAGAAAAGACUUCGGCAGUUACCAAAUCUGAAGUACUCAUUGUGCAUGCUAGCAAUCUGGGACUAAUAAGGUUAAAUUGUCUGAGACCUCAAGGUGGAAGUGACAGCUCCUGUGAAUGAUGCAUGAAGCCGCUGACAUUGCAACAGAUGGCGCUUUGGAAGAGAUUCCUUUCUGAACUGCCUGGCCCUCUUAUGGAAAUCCUGUGAGGGGUGAUCUCUGGUGACCAGGCUCAGCAGGAAGAGGAAUGUGCAUCCGACCUUGUGCGGAAGUUUGUCUCCAUGAGGUCAUACAGCUGCUUGAGGUUGCUCGGAGAGUAAGAAGCAGAAUGAGAACUAGAACAGAAGCUCACUUUGGCCUGAAGGCUCAUGUGCUGAGCAUCUUCCCUUGUCUGUCUCCACCCCUAGCCUGGUGCCCAGCAUGUAGAAGACCUUCAUCCUAGAUGCAAUGGGAUUAAACUUGGAGAAAAUGGGAUUAAACUUGGACAAACACUACCUAUUUGGACUUGUGAUGAUGGCUUUCAAACUUCUUAAAGCAAUGAAGUAUUUUUUCCAGAAGAAACCUUACACAAGAAGCCCAGCACACUGAGUCAAGCAUAUGUAGGUGGAAGAUAUCUGGUUGAGACCAAGUAGAGAUAAACCUGUAGAUUCAACUGUGCCACCACAGUGAAUUCUAAGAAUCCACUGACUGUGAUCUGUAAGCUCCUACUCCACAGGAGGUCAGGGCACACAGCUUGAAACCGGAAGGCAGAAGAGUGACAGGGAAGGGUCAUGGACUCUGAAAUUAGAGCUAUCUGUGUUUUAAUACUAGUUCCAAUAGGCACAUGGUCUUGGAUAAAUGGUUUAAAUUA